CAGCUAUGCUAAUCUUUCUCCUUUUGUUUUCCUGUUUCUAUCUCGGGAUGCCCAUCCCAAGGUUACUAGAGAUUACGCCAGUUCCAGUUUGGAUCCAGCCUCGCUUGUGAAGACUUCAGAAGAUGCCAACACUCAAAGAUUUCAGAUGAUGACAAACUAUAGAUGAACAUGCAAAGCUGCCGAAUAAUCCUUAUAUUGUAAUCGUUGCCCUAAAAGGGAGGAACUUGUGAACAAAUCUACUUCACACCACAUCAAUGAAAGCAGACGGGCAGACGACAAUUACAGACGGUUUUAUUGGAUCAGGGUCAGAUCUGAAUUCUGCAGGUAGGUUUUCUGGGAUGACAGUUGAGGACAUCAGCACAUCAGAUGUUGGCCUGGACAGCUGUACCUACAGUACACCACACUGACCUAAGCUUUUGCGCGGAUGGCUGACUACUACCAUGUUCUGUGAAGGUAUUAUUAUAGCAAACCUGAGCAACUGUGACAGUGGAAUUUGUAGUUGUAAUGAAUAGUCAGACAUGCAUAUUGGUAAAUUUGAAGUCACAGAGAAAAAGGUUUUUUUAGGACUUGCAAUUUUUUAAAUUUUUGUACUAAUUCUCUUUAACAAA